UUAGUACUCCCUCCAUCCAAUAAAGGAUGUCUCAAUUUUGAAUAAAUUUGAAUGCAUUUAUACACUAAGUCAUGUAUACAUCUAAAUUUUGACAAACUUGAGACAUCUUUUGUUGGACGGAGGAAGUAUUGC
rfam:Brachypodium distachyon strain Bd21 chromosome 5, whole genome shotgun sequence.